UCCCUGUGAUGAAACCUGCACAUGUCUUACGCCCUGCGUCGGGACCAGAACCUGAAAAGGUGAACCCACUGGUGUCGCCAGGAUAAUAAGGAGACAAUCUGUUGGGGUGCCCAACUGUCUGAUGGGAC